rnacentral:other from 2 species
CGUCCUCUGCGUUGUUCGAUAGCGCGUCCGCAAAAUACCUUGACCCUGUUGUUCGACCUUGGGAAGAGCUCUCCACCGCGCAUGAGCUUGUCCGCCUCGCAGCGGACCGCCUUUAGCGGUGUUCUUCUUCCCCCCUGAUCCUACGGAUCAAGGUCGUGAGACCCGCAACGGCAUCGGCGGAGGACCC